UACGUAGGGACCAAGCGUUGUUCGGAUUUACUGGGCGUAAAGGGCGCGUAGGCGGCUUGGCAAGUGGAUGGUGAAAUCCCUCGGCUUAACCGAGGAACUGCCGUCCAAACUGCUUCGCUUGAGACCGGGAGAGGUGAGUGGAAUUCCCAGUGUAGCGGUGAAAUGCGUAGAUAUUGGGAGGAACACCAGUGGCGAAGGCGGCUCACUGGACCGGUACUGACGCUGAUGCGCGAAAGCGUGGGGAGCAAACAGG
rnacentral:rRNA from 1 species